rnacentral:rRNA from 1 species
UUUUGGCGGAUUGAGAAGACAACAAUUUUCAGCUCAGAUUCAGAGUCCGAAGGAUUUUACGCUGAGACAAGGCGGCAAACGCAGCGACGGAAGGAGCAUACAGAAGUAUGUGACUGACGCUCGCAAGAGCAGCCAACGCCGUAUCAGUGUAAAAGACACAGGACGGAGCACAAAGAAUUUGCCUGGCGGCACUAGCGCGGUGGUCCCACCUGACCCCAUGCCGAACUCAGAAGUGAAACGCCGUAGCGCCGAUGGUAGUGUGGGGUCUCCCCAUGCGAGAGUAGGGAACUGCCAGGCAUCAAAUUAGAAGUAUGGCAUUAACUUUCGGGGCAGUUCACUACUCGACAGAGAGUAGGACAAAAGCGAAAGCUUUUGAACGUUGCGAAGCAACGGCCCGAAGGGUGAAUCACGAAGUGAUUCAUAAACUGCCAGGCAUCAAAUUAAGCAGUAAACUGAUGUAAAAAUCAGUGGUUGUAAAAGAAUUCGGUGGAGCGGUAGUUCAGUUGGUUAGAAUACCUGCCUGUCACGCAGGGGGUCGCGGGUUCGAGUCCCGUCCGUUCCGCCACUUAUUAAGAGCCCUGAGCAUUAGCUCAGGGCUUUUUCUUUCCAUGUCAUUUAAUUAUUGCUCAAUUCGCAAAAAUCCUCUGCAUUUCUCGCUCUUUUUCUGCAAAGCGCUGAAGGUCAUAAUCCCCUCAGUUAACGAACAUAGUGAUUAAAAAGAGGAAUUCUAUGACUAUCCCUGCAUUCGGUUUAGGUACUUUUCGCCUGAAAGACGACGUGGUUAUCGCUUCUGUUAAAACGGCGCUUGAACUGGGCUACCGUGCUGUCGACACUGCGCAAAUCUAUGAUAAUGAAGCGGCUGUUGGACAGGCGAUUGCUGAGAGCGGCGUACCGCGUAAUGAGCUGUACAUCACCACCAAGAUCUGGAUUGAAAACCUUAGCAAAGACAAGCUAAUCCCAAGCCUGAAAGAGAGUCUGAAAAAACUGCGUACCGAUUAUGUCGAUCUGACGCUGAUCCACUGGCCAUCUCCGGGUGAUGCCGUGUCUGUCGAAGAAUUUAUGCAGGCAUUGCUUGAAGCUAAAAAACAAGGGCUGACUCGCGAAAUUGGCAUUUCAAACUUCACCAUUCCGUUGAUGGAAAAGGCUAUUGCCGCGGUGGGCGCAGACAAUAUCGCCACCAACCAGAUUGAGCUAUCUCCGUAUCUGCAGAAUCGUAAGGUGGUUGACUGGGCGAAAGCGCACGGUAUCCACAUCACCUCUUAUAUGACGCUGGCAUACGGUAAGGCGCUGAAAGAUGAAGUGAUUUACUCAUGGAGCUGAAGUCAGUCGAAGAUACCAGCUGGCUGCAACUGUUUAUUAAAAACACAGCACUGUGCAAACACGAAAGUGGACGUAUACGGUGUGACGCCUGCCCGGUGCCGGAAGGUUAAUUGAUGGGGUCAGCGCAAGCGAAGCUCCUGAUCGAAGCCCCGGUAAACGGCGGCCGUAACUAUAACGGUCCUAAGGUAGCGAAAUUCCUUGUCGGGUAAGUUCCGACCUGCACGAAUGGCGUAAUGAUGGCCAGGCUGUCUCCACCCGAGACUCAGUGAAAUUGAACUCGCUGUGAAGAUGCAGUGUACCCGCGGCAAGACGGAAAGACCCCGUGAACCUUUACUAUAGCUUGACACUGAACAUUGAGCCUUGAUGUGUAGGAUAGGUGGGAGGCUUUGAAGUGUGGACGCCAGUCUGCAUGGAGCCGACCUUGAAAUACCACCCUUUAAUGUUUGAUGUUCUAACGUGGACCCGUAAUCCGGGUUGCGGACAGUGUCUGGUGGGUAGUUUGACUGGGGCGGUCUCCUCCUAAAGAGUAACGGAGGAGCACGAAGGUUGGCUAAUCCUGGUCGGACAUCAGGAGGUUAGUGCAAUGGCAUAAGCCAGCUUGACUGCGAGCGUGACGGCGCGAGCAGGUGCGAAAGCAGGUCAUAGUGAUCCGGUGGUUCUGAAUGGAAGGGCCAUCGCUCAACGGAUAAAAGGUACUCCGGGGAUAACAGGCUGAUACCGCCCAAGAGUUCAUAUCGACGGCGGUGUUUGGCACCUCGAUGUCGGCUCAUCACAUCCUGGGGCUGAAGUAGGUCCCAAGGGUAUGGCUGUUCGCCAUUUAAAGUGGUACGCGAGCUGGGUUUAGAACGUCGUGAGACAGUUCGGUCCCUAUCUGCCGUGGGCGCUGGAGAACUGAGGGGGGCUGCUCCUAGUACGAGAGGACCGGAGUGGACGCAUCACUGGUGUUCGGGUUGUCAUGCCAAUGGCACUGCCCGGUAGCUAAAUGCGGAAGAGAUAAGUGCUGAAAGCAUCUAAGCACGAAACUUGCCCCGAGAUGAGUUCUCCCUGAGACUUAGAGUCUCCUGAAGGAACGUUGAAGACGACGACGUUGAUAGGCCGGGUGUGUAAGCGCAGCGAUGCGUUGAGCUAACCGGUACUAAUGAACCGUGAGGCUUAACCUU